UUGAUCCUGGCUCAGAUUGAACGCUGGCGGCAUGCUUUACACAUGCAAGUCGAACGGCAGCGCGGGGGGUAACCCCUGGUGGCGAGUGGCGAACGGGUGAGUAAUAUAUCGGAACGUACCCUGUAGCGGGGGAUAACGCGUCGAAAGAUGUGCUAAUACCGCAUACGACCUACGGGUGAAAGCGGAGGACCGCAAGGCUUCGCACUAUAGGAGCGGCCGAUAUCGGAUUAGCUAGUUGGCGGGGUAACGGCCCACCAAGGCGACGAUCCGUAGCUGGUCUGAGAGGAUGAUCAGCCACACUGGAACUGAGACACGGUCCAGACUCCUACGGGAGGCAGCAGUGGGGAAUUUUGGACAAUGGGCGCAAGCCUGAUCCAGCCAUGCCGCGUGAGUGAAGAAGGCCUUCGGGUUGUAAAGCUCUUUCGGCGGGGACGAAACGGUCCGUGCUAAUACCACGGACUACUGACGGUACCCGCAGAAGAAGCACCGGCUAACUACGUGCCAGCAGCCGCGGUAAUACGUAGGGUGCAGGCGUUAAUCGGAAUUACUGGGCGUAAAGCGUGCGCAGGCGGUUUGUUAAGACAGAUGUGAAAUCCCCGGGCUUAACCUGGGAACUGCGUUUGUAACUGGCAGACUGGAGUGUGGCAGAGGGGGGUGGAAUUCCAAGUGUAGCAGUGAAAUGCGUAGAUAUUUGGAGGAACACCGAUGGCGAAGGCAGCCCCCUGGGCUAACACUGACGCUCAUGCACGAA
rnacentral:rRNA from 1 species